GGGGGCGAGUAGGUUCGACGGCUUGAGUACAGAUGGCGUAAGCGAGUCGAGAUCGCCGCGGUCUCGUUAAACAGCGGCAACGGCAACAACUGCCGACAAUCAACUAGCAUACGCAGCUUAAUCAAUUAAGCUGCCGUUCUCUUACCGGCUUGCCUGCGGCUGGGAAGAGGGCGUCAUCAUAGCAGGCUCGGUCGUUCUUCUGCGCCUGGGGAAGGGCACGACAUAAACCGGGCUAGCCGGCGCCGGAAGCCUGUUCUUCGGCGUCCUUUGCCGGCGAACAGCCAAAAGAAGAACUGCACUCGGAGAAAGCGCCAUAGGUUCCAGGUCGGACGCGGGGUGCGACUCCCCGCCGCCUCCACCA
rnacentral:tmRNA from 1 species